rnacentral:lncRNA from 1 species
AUAAACAGACCAGUUCAUCAUCAAGCCAUCACAUCAUCUAGCCAUUACAGUGAUCCUCUACCUAGCACAAUUCCUACAAACAUACAACUACUAACCUGAUAAUGCCAUAAAAACACACAAUUAUGCAUUUCAUUUCUCUCCAUCCUUUCGCAUCUAGCUCUUGUUGAAUUAAUUUCUUCAUUCUUUUCCAGAACUUGUUGCCUCAAUACAAUCUCUGCUCCAUUUCUCUGCCCCUGUUCUAGCCAUGCAUGUCGAUCACUUCAACACUCAUCCUCCUCAUUGCAUAUCUAACAUCAAGUACUUGCCGAAGAAGUGGGGAUCAUCAUGCCACGCAAAAUACCUACAACCUUCAUUCUGAAUCAACAAUUAACUCAAUCAAAGAAAGAAGAAGACAACUCAAAUAAAAUUGAGGGAAAUUGGAUGAACAGAGCAAUAUCGGUAGCUUACAAUUCUAGGAUUCUCGUCGCUCCAAGAUAUCCAGCGGGGAGGCUUCUUUCGCGACAUGCAGUAACCUUCCCUCGCCGGCGGGUAUGCCAUCGGGUUCUCCGGGCACCGGCGACCUAGAUACUGCCUUGCGACGGCGUCCUCUGCCCGAGUACGUCGAAUCGGAGGGAGUACUCAACCGGAGGAGGAGGAGAAGGAGGGGAAGGAGAAGCCAUCGUUGUUUGCUCAGGCGGCGCUUGCCUACCUUCCCUGAACCGCCACCGCCACCGCCGCCGCCGCCGCCGCCCGUCCUCGAACCCUAUUUUUUCUCCCCUCCGGUAGUUCUGAUUUGCUACCCCCGUCGCAACUAAAUUGAACAUUGAAAGGGGGCCAACUAUAGUCCAACGUGGCAUCUGAUUAAGCCACAAUUUGUGCCAUGUCAGCUAACCCGGAGCACAAACGAGCUUUUGCCAAAAAUCUGUUAACAAUAGAAUAGUUGCUUAUUAAUUAAGUUAAUAGGAUUAAGUUAAUUGUUAGAUAGGUUGUUUGGUUCUCAAGCAACCAUAUACUUCCUUGGCUUUCAAGGCAACUAUGUAAUUCCUUGGCUCUCAAGUAACUUUGAGUUUACUUGACUCCCAAAUAACAUGUGUACUUCUGCCCGGGUAUAAAUACCUCACUUCUAUCAUCAAUAAAAACUGAUGGAUCAUCUUUCAUUCAAACUCUCUCGUUCUUUACUUUUCACUCAAAACACGUUAUCACGCACUUUUGCUCUCUGCUGAGAAAUGGCCACACGGAACAAGAAGAAAACGAUGGGGAGGCGUCUUAACGGCGGCAAGGCGCCGAGGGCACUUCUCCUGCGUCUGGAGGCAAAAUGGCCAGCUUGCGACGCUCGCCCGGCGACGGAGUCCUCAUAUGCCUAUCCGUGGCACACCACGGACUGCCCGACAGCCCACCUGCGAUGCCACCCUCAUGCUUGGCCCUACCCGCGCUACCCGUCGGCCUCAAGCGACGAACGGCACCAAGCAACUCCGGCAAUCUUGAGGAAAACUGGAUCAGGACAUUGUUCAAUUUGUCUUUGUUUUCUUGCAAUCAAUCCAAGAUCUAAUAACUACUUGUAUUUUGUGAAUCGCAAACAAGAAGUACAGGAGAAAGAACUGCAUAUUUCCUCACCAACGACGACAAGGCGUGGCGGCGAGGUCCUUGGGCCCCGCGUCUCCACCCGCUCCGCUCCUGCUGUGGCGACCAGCGGGCACGGAGGUGGCGACUUCCUGCGUACCAGCGACGACCAUGCGACGCCCGACAACCAUGGCUCGACCUCAUCUACAGCGAGGCGGGCUAGAGCCUCUCCCGGACGCCAGCGGCGUGGUCCUCAGACCGCAUGGUGGCAGGCCACGAGACGCAAAACGCGGCGGCGACGACGCCCUCGGCCCGGCUCUCCGCAGCGCAGCCGCAUCACGCGGUGCAGGAGGACCCGCGCUAAGUCCGAGCAACGGUGGCAAUCGGCCUUGCUGGUGAUUCAUGGUAGUGUCUCCCAACUCUCCAUGCAGAACUGAAGCCACAAAUCGAUUGCUUCCUUCGUACUA